GCCGUCCAGACCUGGAGGACCAGGCUUUGCUAACGAAGGGUCUCCUGAUGGAGUAUUGUCACCAUUAAGGAAACCUUCCACCUGUAUGUUAUGUGCACCGUAAAGGGACAAAAUGGGGAGAAGGCAACUUGAUGAGCUCCUUGCCAGGUAGGAAUGGUAGCUAAAAA
rnacentral:lncRNA from 1 species